AAAUUGAAGAGUUUGAUCAUGGCUCAGAUUGAACGCUGGCGGCAGGCCUAACACAUGCAAGUCGAACGGUAACAGGAAGCAGCUUGCUGCUUUGCUGACGAGUGGCGGACGGGUGAGUAAUGUCUGGGAAACUGCCUGAUGGAGGGGGAUAACUACUGGAAACGGUGGCUAAUACCGCAUAACGUCGCAAGACCAAAGAGGGGGACCUUCGGGCCUCUUGCCAUCAGAUGUGCCCAGAUGGGAUUAGCUUGUUGGUGAGGUAACGGCUCACCAAGGCGACGAUCCCUAGCUGGUCUGAGAGGAUGACCAGCCACACUGGAACUGAGACACGGUCCAGACUCCUACGGGAGGCAGCAGUGGGGAAUAUUGCACAAUGGGCGCAAGCCUGAUGCAGCCAUGCCGCGUGUAUGAAGAAGGCCUUCGGGUUGUAAAGUACUUUCAGCGGGGAGGAAGGUGUUGCGGUUAAUAACCGCAGCAAUUGACGUUACCCGCAGAAGAAGCACCGGCUAACUCCGUGCCAGCAGCCGCGGUAAUACGGAGGGUGCAAGCGUUAAUCGGAAUUACUGGGCGUAAAGCGCACGCAGGCGGUCUGUCAAGUCGGAUGUGAAAUCCCCGGGCUCAACCUGGGAACUGCAUUCGAAACUGGCAGGCUUGAGUCUUGUAGAGGGGGGUAGAAUUCCAGGUGUAGCGGUGAAAUGCGUAGAGAUCUGGAGGAAUACCGGUGGCGAAGGCGGCCCCCUGGACAAAGACUGACGCUCAGGUGCGAAAGCGUGGGGAGCAAACAGGAUUAGAUACCCUGGUAGUCCACGCCGUAAACGAUGUCUACUUGGAGGUUGUGCCCUUGAGGCGUGGCUUCCGGAGCUAACGCGUUAAGUAGACCGCCUGGGGAGUACGGCCGCAAGGUUAAAACUCAAAUGAAUUGACGGGGGCCCGCACAAGCGGUGGAGCAUGUGGUUUAAUUCGAUGCAACGCGAAGAACCUUACCUGGUCUUGACAUCCACAGAAGAAUCCAGAGAUGGAUUUGUGCCUUCGGGAACUGUGAGACAGGUGCUGCAUGGCUGUCGUCAGCUCGUGUUGUGAAAUGUUGGGUUAAGUCCCGCAACGAGCGCAACCCUUAUCCUUUGUUGCCAGCGAUUAGGUCGGGAACUCAAAGGAGACUGCCAGUGAUAAACUGGAGGAAGGUGGGGAUGACGUCAAGUCAUCAUGGCCCUUACGACCAGGGCUACACACGUGCUACAAUGGCGCAUACAAAGAGAAGCGACCUCGCGAGAGCAAGCGGACCUCAUAAAGUGCGUCGUAGUCCGGAUUGGAGUCUGCAACUCGACUCCAUGAAGUCGGAAUCGCUAGUAAUCGUGGAUCAGAAUGCCACGGUGAAUACGUUCCCGGGCCUUGUACACACCGCCCGUCACACCAUGGGAGUGGGUUGCAAAAGAAGUAGGUAGCUUAACCUUCGGGAGGGCGCUUACCACUUUGUGAUUCAUGACUGGGGUGAAGUCGUAACAAGGUAACCGUAGGGGAACCUGCGGUUGGAUCACCUCCUUACCUUAAAGAAGC
rnacentral:rRNA from 2 species